GUCGGGCCUGCCCAAUGAUUAUUUUAAUGGCCGCGGUAUUUUGACCGUGCAAAGGUAGGAAAAUCAAUAGUUUAUUAAUUGUAAACUGGAAUGAAAGGUUUGACGAGAAUCUAUCUGUCUCUUAUUAAUUAAUUGAAUUUUAUUUUUGAGUUAAAAAGCUCAAAUUUUUUUAAAAGACGAGAAGACCCUAUAGAGUUUUAUGUUAAUAUAAUUAACUUUUUAUAUUUAUUUAUAUUAGUAUUUUGUUGGGGUGACAGAAAAAUUUAAUUAACUUUUUUUUUUGUUUACAUUUAUUUAUGAAUUGUUGAUCUUGAUUUAUGAUUAUAAGAUUAAAUUACCUUAGGGAUAACAGCGUUAUUUAUCUUGAGAGUUCAAAUCGAAAGAUAAGUUUGCGACCUCGAUGUUGGAUUAAAAUUAAAAUAAGGUGUAGAAGCUUACUUCUAGGUCGUCG
rnacentral:rRNA from 1 species